rnacentral:rRNA from 1 species
UAGAUACCCUGGUAGUCCACGCUGUAAACGAUGGAUACUAAGUGUCGGGCAACCGGUGCUGAAGUUAACACAUUAAGUAUCCCACCUGAGUAGUACGGUCGCAAGACUGAAACUCAAAGGAAUUGACGGGCACCCGCACAAGCGGUGGAGCAUGUCGUUUAAUUCGAAGCAACGCGAAAAACCUUACCAGGACUUGACAUCUCUUUGAAACCUUAUGGAAACACUAGGCCUCUUCUUCGGAAGACAAAGA